UCUCUCUCUCCUCGUUGCUGAGCACGCUGCUUGCCGAGCUCCUCGCGCCGUACGCUGCCGUCCGCCGCGCCGGCCGCUCGCUGCCACUGGUUGCUGCGCGCCGCCGGCCACCGUCGCCUCCGCCUGACCGGCCUGUGCCUCGUCGCUGCGCCGCGCGCCUGCGCCGCCGUCGCGCCGGGCCACCGCGUCGCGCCGUCAUGCGUGCCGUCGCGCUCGCUCUGCGCCAGCCGCCGUGAAGAAGCAAGCAAGCAAGCAGGCCGUCGUUGCCUCUGUGCUAGCAGCUGAGAACAAGCAAGCACAGAGAAGCAAGCAAACCAGCGCAGGAGAGAAGCCAGGAAAGAGAAAAGAAAAGAAGAAAAGAAAACAAAACAAAAAGAAAAAGAGAAAAGGAAAAAAAAAGGAAAAAUUGGAAAUUUCGGAAUUUCGUCGGAUUCGUCGUCAAUCCUUCGAAGGUGGUACUAUUUCCGGACAUUCUUGAUCGAAUUUCCUUCAUCGUCGGUAAAGGCAAGUGAAUGUAUUGUAUGACUAUGCUUUAACCUAAUAUUGGGUUGCCUACAUUCUUUAAUUACAGUGCAUUCAUCUAAUCUGAAUGACUGAUUCUGAGCUGGGUACUAUGUUGUUUACGUUUCUAGAAGUUUACUCGAUGAUUGAUUUAUGAAGUGCAGUAUGUUUAGAUGUUGACGUGCAUUUUGGGGAUGGAUCUUGGUAGCUGCACACACUACCUCAUCACCAUGUUGAUAGCUCAACCGGUGUUAUAAAUGGUGGUUUUGGUGGUCUGUCGUUUGCUUGGUUUAUGUCGUGGUACGAGGCUGGUAGCGUCGUGAAGGUUUCUAUAUAUAUAUGCCGGUUAUGUCAUAUACUGUCUGCCUGUGAUCUCUUUUGGUCAGUUAUACCGUCCUAUAGAGGAAAUACCAUCAAAA